AGGGGGGGGGGGGGGUCUUGAGAAUCCCAAAAAAGUGUCCACGUGGUUUAUGGAUAGUCCCUUAAAAAAAAUAAACAUUAUUCUGACAUGAAUGGCACCCAUUCCCAGAUGGGUACCAAUGAUUUGUAUUACUGGGUAUCGUUCUGUGCAUUGUCGCUAAAUUUGGUUGAAUUUGAAAACCAGAAUCUCGAGUGGUAAUCAAAAACGUAAACCGUAGUCAGGCAUGCACGUGUGACAUAACGGCCUCUGACUAAACUUCUCUACGCAAAAAAAAUCUUAUCCAGGUCAUAUUGUUGGCUGUCACUUUCAAAAUCUUUUUUUUUUUAUCAAAAGGUAUAAAUAAACAUUGACUAAAAAAAUAUAGUUUAAUAUUGAUUUCAAGCAGAUUUGCUCUCAUCGAAUACUUCAACACUUCAUGCAAGGUUUACUUCAUCGAAGAACAAGCUCCCUGGAGGAAAAAAAAAACAAAAACAAGCGAUCUCAAAAUAAAAGCUAGGCAAGGGAAACCAAAAAUAAUUAAGAGGAGUAAAUAUUAAACACAACAAAUAGACAAAGGAAAAAGAAGCAAAGGGCAUGCCCUCGAAGGCACACCGUGUAAAUAGUUGUAGUUACAAUAAACACUAAACAAAACAAUCGCAGCGCCUCCAAUAUAUUUGUAUUGACGCAGCUAGAAGUAAACAAACAAAAAAAAAACACGAAUGGCUCACGUAGGUGUAGGUAAUUAAAUUUUGUUACAAUUGUGUCAAGCUUCGCGACAGUCGGUGGGAAACUUCCUCGAAUCAGGGUUUGAGUCCUGCUGAGGGCAGUUGGAAAUCGAUCGCAACCAAUCAAAAACCAUGAAACAGUCACUUUUGCAGGAAAAUAAGCGAAUUGAACGAGGUGCGCUGAAUGUGUGUGGAUGUGUAAAUAGUUGAUGGGUAAACAAUUACCAGCAAGGACGAAAAAAAAGAAGCGAUCGCUUAUUUGAAGGUGUUUGUGUACUGGCGAGAAGAGCAACACCACUAAUGAGGGGCUCCAUACAAAUACAAAAAAAAAGACGAAAAACAGCAUUAACAACUUCAAAAACACCAGAACAAUAAUGAACGGGGGGAGGCCCACUAAUGAAUGGUGAUAAAUGGCUGGUGAAUGGUUUUGAGAUUUAUUAUUAUUAUUAUAAUGGUAACAGCAAAUUAAUAAAUAAAUUGCGAUUUCGAUAAACCGAAUGGAAUUGACAGCCUUGUUAGCACCUGGGGAGUAGAUAUGAGGUGCUAAAUUGAUGGAAUUACGCCACAGUAGAAAAAACACGACAUUUGUGGGAUUCAAUAUCUUUAAUGCAAGCUGUACUUGUCAUUAAAAACAUAAUAAUCUCUUAACUAACUUGUUAAAGCCAUGGAUUUAAACAAAUUUUACAAAUUUAUAAUGAAUCCACGGGAUCGAAUGGGUUUCUCCAAGAUUUGUUUUAAGAUUUAGUAAGGUUCACUUUUCUUGCAUAUUGUUGAAACUCGAAAUCUCUACAAGAACAAUGUAGCGUGUAUUUAUUUGAAUAUUCGAAAUUAUCUCUAAAAUCUUUUGCUGGCCAAUUAAACCUGUUCACAAAAAUAAAAUUACACCCCAUGAAAGGUUCACGUUGUGAAUUCAAAUCAAAAUAUUUACUAAGUUGGUUCUGUUCUUGAGGUUGAAAACGCUCAAUUGUACAAAGUGCAGAUAACCGGGAAUGUUGCAAAGAUUAGAAAGUAAGAUAAUCCCAUCACGGAGCUUGCAGAAGAAUAAAAAAAAUGUGUAAAAAUAAUGUAAUAAGUAAAUGCAAAGAAAAAAAAACCACACACAGUGAAAAGGGCAUGUAAUAAAGUGAAACAAAACGAAGUAGGUACUAAGUAAAAAAAACUUAAACAAAUAACAAAAUGUCUAUCAAUGUUUAACGAAUGUUUUCAAAACAACUGUUUUUGUACGAAUUUGAAAGAGCGUCAAAAAGUUUGCUCACCGCCAGAAUCUAAUAACGGUAUCAACUUAGUGACAAAACAAAUGAGGAAUAAAAUAAAGUGUUACUGCUACU